AUAUAUACACAAUGGAAUAUUACUCUGCCAUGAAGAAGAAUGAAAUUAUGGCAUUUGCUGGUAUCACCAGGGAUGCUGAAAUCCUUAUGUGUACACAUCAUUGCAUUGAAUUGAAUUUGAACAUUGUGUGUCCAACAACUUUGGAAUGUCCUGUUUUGGGAUUACCUUCAGAAUUUAUGUGUGAUAUUUUUGUUUUCCUCAGUAAUGGAAAAAUCUUAAUCCUUAUAGAUGUGUUUGACUUUUGGAAACAGUCAAGUAUAAUUUGGAACAUAGUUUGAUGGAAUAAAGUAUGUAAUCAUAAAGAUAUUUUUGAUAAGAGGAACAUAGGAAAAUUAAUGAUUUUUUUAGAGCUUAUAAACUAAAAAUAGUGAUAACAAGACAUCCUAAAAUUAUUUCUGGGCAAUAUAUUGAAUGGAAUAAAAGUAUAAUUCCUACAAAAUCUA